UCCAUCAAUAGCUCAGAUUUAUAAUAAUAAAUAUUGUUUAGAUAUUUCAAUACAUUGAUAAAUAUACAAAAUAUUACAGAGAUAAAUUACUUUUGAAUGAUUGCAGACAAUUGAAUGCUACUUUCAAGCACUCUUGAAGUCAAAAGGCGAUAGACGAAAAAAAAUUAUAUUCAGCCACUAUUCUGCCAGUGUUGUUGUAUUUGGGGAGAGGUCUGCAUUGUCAAAUCACAGUUUACGAAAGGUUAACUUUGAAGACUACAAUGCUCUCAUUGGAUUCAUUAAUGUACACAGAAACCACUGGAAAUUUCUGUAUCUCAACAGGAAUAUGCAGAAAGUGUUUGUGGUGGAUCCCCAAGGGAAUGAAGAAGAGAAAGAUUUUCAACUUGCUGCCAAAAGAUUCAGGCAGUACUUCAAAAUGCGUCAGAUACGGCAUGCUAAGACAGACUGGGUGGAUGUGAAAUGUUUUGAAGCACAUUAACCAAGAAGACGGUUACAGCCGCAGAGUUUAUGUCAUGCAGGUAACCAAGCAAUUUUCAGUGGCAGCUCGUGGGUUUUAAAAUAGAGGAGGCACACUAAUUGUAUUGGUCUGGGGAUCCCUGCCAAUUAUUAGUAUUUGCUUAACUACUUUAAAAUGUUUUUUUUUUUGGUUUCCUUUAGUCAGAAAACGUAAAGAAAACAACACAACAAACAGCCAGGAUAAUAUAACUUCACUUACCUGGCCUAUCAUCUGAAUCAAACAUCCAUAAAAGUCUAUGUUAAAAGAAAGGUGCCUGUUGUGCCUUUUAAUUAAGCCGUGACUGCUGUAGCCUAUCCAGUUUAGGUGUGCUUUCGCUUUAUUUGUAAUUUAUAUAUGUACUGUUUUAAUGAGAGCUUGGUAAAUCUUUUGGGGGUCAAAUAUUCACUAUCACUACUUAUCAUAAGUACUUGGUACAUUAUCAGUGCAGCGGAGAUGUUCAAACUAAUAUCACGUAAUUUACGUCUCUAUGAUUAUUGAUAUACCAGAAUAGAGGCUAAACUCCCUUGCUACGUUUAUUUUCUCAACACUUCUCAGCGCUAAAAGUGAACACUAGAUGCUGAUUGGCAAAUGUUUUUACCAACGGAGGCAAAAGAGCUCAGCUCUCCGGGCCUCCCCUCCCCUUAUCUAUCACAUAUUGUUUCUAAUUAAAUCAGCAAAUUUGGCAUAUUCGCGAUAGGAAAGCAGUGCUUUCCAACUUCAGUAACCUGUUGUGGUAUUAUAGCUGUGAAAUUACAAACAAAAACAUACACAUUCUGAGACAUGAAAUCAAGGAAUUGUGAAUUUUAUUAAUAUUAAAUCGUCGUCCUCCCAUUUUUACUUAAAAAUUUUGGGAAGCUGUGUCUCCCUUGCCUCCGCCGACAAACCGCCACUGGCAAUUUUAUGUAGCAUUUCAACAACAAUCAUUUUUGCACAGCCUCAGUAGUGUAAUAUUUACUUUUAUUAUUCUGCUAUAGCUAAUGUGUUUUGCAUUUACAUUUGAUUUAUGUGAUUCAAAAGAUGGCUAAGGAAGUAGUGGAGGCUUUUCCUCAGACACCAUCGAAAAUCAUAAUACCUUCAUGUAAGCGCAGCCUCGCAGAGCUUCGUAAGGACAUGGCUGUAACAAUCCUACAAGCAUCAGGUAUGUUUUGCAUCUGUCAAUCCAUCCAUCCAUCCAUCCAUCCAUCUAUCUAUCUGUAUGUUAAAGUUUGAACAGUUUAAAGAGAAAACUGAUUUUUUAAUAUUGUGAUUACAGUGUUCAACCCAAAGGAACAUUGCUCCUUUUGUUGCCUACAUUCUCCUCCUGGACGUGUUGGUCUGAACACAUGGGUUUGUGUAAUUUUUAAUAGCAAUUGGCUAAUUAUAUUAGCUAUUACACAUAGAGUCCCUGUUGUCAAUUAUAAAAUUAAUUACAUAAUUAGUCAAACUGAAAUGUAAUGCUUUUGCAGUCAAAGUAACAUUAUUGCAAAUGUUACGUUUUAAUUUGUAUGGAAACAUAGACUGUAUAAAAAAUGUUUAAAUAAUAUGUUUACAUUUAGAAAGCUAUAUUUGUUAUUACUGAAGUGUUACAAAUGUAGGAAAGCCUGUCUAUAACUUUAAAUGUAUUAUUUUUUUCAAAUAUGAAAACAUAAAAAGGUUAAUUAUCACUUCUUUCCUCAAACAGAUUCAGUGCAGCAAAUGUGAAAGGUGGUUUCACUUUCAGUCUGUCAACAUAAAAAAAGAAGACCUACACAAAUUUAAAAGAAGAAAGUGGUUUUGUACAGUCUGUGAGUAAAACAGACUUACCUACAUGAUAAUCCAAAGUCGUGUAAAUCAAUACAUACUUUUAUUUGAUUUUUUUACUUAAUUUUAUACAGUUUAUUUUAUUCAAUGACUGUUGUUGAAAUGGAGAC
ensembl:lncRNA